UGGGGGAUAUUGCACAAUGGGCGCAAGCCUGAUGCAGCGACGCCGCGUGGGGGAUGAAGGCCUUCGGGUUGUAAACUUCUUUUGCUCUGAACAAGGCGCACUGUGGGGUGUGUUGAGUGUUGGGGUUGAUUAGCGCCGGCUAACUACGUGCCAGCAGCCGCGGUAAUACGUAGGGCGCGAGCGUUGUCCGGAAUUAUUGGGCGUAAAGGGCUUGUAGGUGGCUGGUUGCGUCUGUCGGGAAAGCUAAUGGCUUAACUGUGGGUUUGCGGUGGGUACGGGCUGGCUUGAGUGCGGUAGGGGAGGAUGGAAUUCCUGGUGUAGCGGUGGAAUGCGCAGAUAUCAGGAGGAAUACCGGUGGCGAAGGCGGGUCUCUGGGCUGUUACUGACACUGAGGAGCGAAAGCAUGGGGAGCGAACAGG
rnacentral:rRNA from 1 species